GUAUGGAGAACAUUAGACACUGGACACAUAUACCACAUCCACAGCAGACAUCUUCAGUGAUUUUCAUCGCUUGUAUUUAUUUUCAGAGGAAAUGCAGCUCAGCACCACCUUCAAGAUGGGCAGUUUCCAGUGGCACCACGUGGAGGAACGGACAUCGCCACCUAUAUAUACAGGCGCCCUCUGUCUGACAGGUUGCACUUUUGCCAACAUCUUUACAGCCAAGCUUAGCCGAGACCACAUUUGGAGGGUC